rnacentral:lncRNA from 1 species
AUAAACUUUACAGUUUGUGACCAACAUAUAUUAACACAAUACACAUAUAUACAUACAUAUCAAACAUACACAAUAAAAACAGCAUCACAAUUUAUAACAACAAACAAGCUGUUAAGAGUCCCCUGCCCUCAGUUUUAAUGACUUUUUUUCGAAAAGAAUCCUAACUUAUUUGUUUGAAGAGGCGUUGAUGGAUUUAGUAAAUAAUGCAUUUUUUCUUUUUCAGUUAAAUUAUUAAAGUUAUUAUUUUCAGUACGUAUUUGUUUAAAAAGUCAUUUCUUAGAGUUUUAUCAUGAUCACAAUAGAGUAAAAAAUGUUUCACAAGGUGUCACUGUGUUCUUUUGUUACUUGCCAGUUAUGUAGUUGUAAGUUGUUCGUGAUAUAUAUUUCAUUUUUAUACUUUUUAUGCAAAUCGAUUAAAUGAUUGACUUCAAUUCUUAAUAAACAGAUAAAACGGCUACAUGAUUGUCCUUGUAGGAGCACAAAAAUCACAAAUUAAUAUUUGUUUGGGUCUAAAUUUGUUCUUUGAUCGCGUUCGAUUUGGUUAUAUGUGUCCAAGUGUUUUUCGGCAGAUAGGAAUGGCUCACCUGGCUCACCUUCUUGGAUCAAUUCAUCGAUUUUUGCUAUUGACCAUGGUAUUGUUUGUUAUUAUUCGACUUGUAGUUUUAGAUCUUUUCCCCAUGUUUACCUGCAUGGAUGAUAGCCCAGGGCUGGAUCAGAAGGGGUCCUAUCCAGGGUAAAGGGAAUUUCCAACCAUGUCCUAAUUCAAAUGUAUUUAUCGUCAAAAAAUGGAGGGGGGCGGCCCGGGGGGGUCCAACGAUAUGGACCAUUUUAAAUGCAUUGGUCGUAAAAAUAUUGGGGUUUGAAUACCCCGGAAUUUGCACUUUUUGUUAAAAGUUAGUUCUUUAUCUCAAUGAGUUCAAAUGCGUUGACCUCCUUGAAAGUAGGUGUACAAGGUAUAUGAAACUUUUUUCUAUGUGUGUCCGUAUGUACCAAUGAUUAAAUUAAUUUGUUCGUUUUACACAUAAGGAAGGACUUCGAAAAUUUAUAAGAUAGUUUGUAUGAAAAUUAUAAGUUCAAUAGACCAUAGGCUUAAACUAUUUCUGUACUCAAGAGUUUUUUUGUCUUUAUGUAAGCUAUCGCUUUGCGCAACUCUAGUCAGCUCAUUCCGAUAGGUGUUUACUAUUUG